GUAAGAUGGAGCACUCAUAUCGCAGCUGCUCGGCUAUACUGGCGGCCCGGGCCACGGUGCUCCUGCUCACAUCCGGCCCGGUCAUACCUCUCGUCCUUCUGGCUGCCAUGGGACCUCCAGCUGCCUCUACCCGGUAGACUCAACAAAAGCACACUUGUGGCAGGAAAGCAACAGGCUCCGUAUUAUACGCCCACGUACGCCUGCCUCAUUCCCGGUCACCGUCACGCUCUCCGGACUCCGAGAUCGCGGCCAACUCUCCGCCCUUUCCUCCGGGAACCUGAUGCCAGGCAGGAGGAAUUUAACGGGACGAGCGGGGGCGGAGAGCAAUAGGCUUAUUGCUUGGACCAUCUUUGUUCGCUAUGGGAAAAAGUUGGUGUGUUCAAAUGAAGCCUCAUGAGAUGAACCCUUUUGCGAACCUUCAUCUCGCCAUAGGACACUCAGAAUAUCUCAAAACAUGAAAACUCACAAAUAUAAUAAAG